AGUGAACGCUGGCGGUAGGCCUAACACAUGCAAGUCGAACGGCAGCACAGUAAGAGCUUGCUCUUACGGGUGGCGAGUGGCGGACGGGUGAGGAAUACAUCGGAAUCUACUUUUUCGUGGGGGAUAACGUAGGGAAACUUACGCUAAUACCGCAUACGACCUACGGGUGAAAGCAGGGGAUCUUCGGACCUUGCGCGAUUGAAUGAGCCGAUGUCGGAUUAGCUAGUUGGCGGGGUAAAGGCCCACCAAGGCGACGAUCCGUAGCUGGUCUGAGAGGAUGACCAGCCACACUGGAACUGAGACACGGUCCAGACUCCUACGGGAGGCAGCAGUGGGGAAUAUUGGACAAUGGGCGCAAGCCUGAUCCAGCCACACCGCGUGGGUGAAGAAGGCCUUCGGGUUGUAAAGCCCUUUUGUUGGGAAAGAAAAGCAGCAGGUUAAUACCCCGCUGUUCUGACGGUACCCAAAGAAUAAGCACCGGCUAACUUCGUG
rnacentral:rRNA from 1 species